CACACAAAAAUUAAAAAAAAGGGUUUCAAUCAUUUAAAAAAGAAAAAUGUUUAAUUACCAAAACUGUUCAACGAUGCAAAGCCCGGACUAUGAGGAGCACUCGAUAUAUGUAACGGUCUUUAAGCACAGCAAAAAACCGAAACAUCACCUUUUUGAUCCAAUACUAACUAAACAUUUUAAAUGGAAAUUCUACAAAUUGUGCAUUAAAAAACUAAAAAAACUAUUCUAGGAGGCAAUCUAGAAGAUUCCCCCAAACGCAACCAACACCCACAUCACCACCCAUCACAAAAUACUCAGUUUGCAUUUUGCGAACACCCAAAGUGAACAGCUACUGUAACCACAAUCCGAAAUUACAGACAACAGCAGCAGCAGCAGAAACAGAAACAGGCAGCAUCAAAAAAGGAGUAGGAGGCGGGGGCGGGGGCCCUCCCACAUGCUGCGAAAUUUCCGAGCGCAUUGGUAGGCCACCCCACCCCCCUUAUUUGUCGGCGAGGGAUUUGUAACCAUAGCUACUGCAAGUACACUGUGCACUCCAGCCAAAAGAGAUGUAUGGUCUUCAAUUCAUUAAAAAUUAAAAUCAAAUUAAUCUAGUGUACAUACAUACAUACAUAUGCAUAUAAUUAUGUAGGUAUAUUAAGGAUUCUAUAGAAGUUAUUACAUCUUUAUAUGUGUGCGGUAUUGCUAGUAUUAUAAGUUUCAGUCUCAAAUCAAAAAUGAAUCUAUGGACAUGGAUUCUCUUGAUAUUCUUUCAUUUAGUAUUCGACAUAGGUAAUACUUAGGAGUAGUAGAAGUCACAAAACAUUUUGGCCAUAUUGGAGCUCUUCUGAAUGUUGAUACAAGUUUAUACGAUUACAAUUACAUUUGCAAAUAUUAGCAUGUUAGCCAACAGGUUCCACGUGCAUAUUAUUUGUAUCAUAAUUAAGUAACAAAAUACCUUAAUUAAUAUUGCUUUUAAUUUAAGUAUUUGAUAUUUUUGUUCAUUUGGAAUCUACUUACUGUUUGCAUAUACUCACGCAUUUAAGCUAUCAAAUAUAAAUGCCAGAGCUUUGCUGGUAUUUCGGAUGGUUUAUGCUAUUAUUGAAUAAGGACACAACUUUAAGUCAAUUUUGUUUUCUCUCUCUCUAAAAAAACUCAUCCUGCAUUGCACAUUUUAAUUAUUUUCUUUUAAUUUUUUGUAACUAACAUAGAUACAUAAGAUACUUACACUACAUUAAUAUUAAUUAAUAUUAAUGAUACUUAUCUCACUUUAAUAACAUUUAUUUAUUUGAUUUAAACCCAGAAUCUAUGUAGAUUUGUGGCUUGUACCCUCAGUAUUACAAUUAUUAGUUCGUUCAGCUCAAGCAUUUAACUUUCAAUUAAAAAAAGGAAGAACUCUCAGGUUCGCUUGUUUAUGAAAGUUUAUGCCAUUAGCUAAUAAGUUUAUGUACAGCUAUAUGUACCUACAUAUACAACUAUUUACUCAAUUUAUUCAUAUGAUAAAACACUUGCACUACAAAUACACAUACAUAUAUUCUGCACUGCAUAUUUAUCUAGACCUAAGCAUAAUAUAAUUAUUCCACAUAAGCAACAAUUUUAGCUAUAAUUUCUUUCAUUUGCACAUUUUGCACUGAAUAUUUAUAAGUAUUAUAUACAAAUGGGCUAUUCAAGUUAACACACUCGUACAGAACUUGUUUAUGCAACUUAAUUAAGCCAUAAUUAAGAAACAUACCUACAUAUAUCCAUAUACAUAAUCAA